AACCUCCGCAAUGUGAGAAAUCGCGACGGGGGGAUCCCAAGUGCCAUUCUUAACGGGAUGGCUUUUCAUUAGUGUAAAGAGCUUUUGGAAUAAGGGCUGGGCAAGACCGGUGCCAGCCGCCGCGGUAACACCGGCAGCUCUAGUGGUAGCAGUUUUUAUUGGGCCUAAAGCGUCCGUAGCCGGUUUAAUAAGUCUCUGGUGAAAUCCUGUAGCUUAACUGUGGGAAUUGCUGGAGAUACUAUUAGACUUGAGACCGGGAGAGGUUAGAGGUACUCCCAGGGUAGAGGUGAAAUUCUGUAAUCCUGGGAGGACCGCCUGUUGCGAAGGCGUCUAACUGGAACGGUUCUGACGGUGAGGGACGAAAGUUAGGGGCGCGAACCGGAUUAGAUACCCGGGUAGUCCUAACUGUAAACGAUGCGGACUUGGUGUUGGGGUGGCUUUGAGCUGCUCCAGUGCCGAAGGGAGCUGUUAAGUCCGCCGCCUGGGAAGUACGGUCGCAAGACUGAAACUUAAAGGAAUU
rnacentral:rRNA from 1 species